AGGACGAACGCUGGCGGCGUGCUUAACACAUGCAAGUCGAACGGUGAAGCCUUUCGGGGUGGAUCAGUGGCGAACGGGUGAGUAACACGUGAGUAAUCUGCCCUUGACUCUGGGAUAACUUCGGGAAACCGUGGCUAAUACCGGAUAUGACGCAUGGUCGCAUGGUCUGUGUGUGGAAAGAUUUAUUGGUCAGGGAUGAGCUCGCGGCCUAUCAGCUUGUUGGUGGGGUAAUGGCCUACCAAGGCGACGACGGGUAGCCGGCCUGAGAGGGCGAGUCGGCCGACGACUGGGACUGAGACACGGCCCAGACUCCUACGGGAGGCAGCAGUGGGGAAUAUUGCGCAAUGGGCGGAAGCCUGACGCAGCGACGCCGCGUGAGGGAUGAAGGCCUUCGGGUCGUAAACCUCUUUCAGCAGGGAAGAAGCUUUUGGGUGACGGUACCUGCAGAAGAAGCACCGGCUAACUACGUGCCAGCAGCCGC
rnacentral:rRNA from 1 species